AAUCCUGAGGUUUUCAUACAGAAGAUACCCAUUCUUCCCGCGUCGUCCAUGCUGUUGAAUACAGCUUCCGAGCUAUAGACCCAGAAGAUGUCCCAAAUGACUCAUUACUGGAAUAAAUGUUUCUAAUGUUAAAGUUCCUACUGAGAACGUCCCAACAAACAGCCAGUCUCUAUGACUAAGGAAAUACUCCAGCUAAUGAUCUCCUGAUAGGCCAAGAAAUAUCAACAAGGCCAGGAGGCCUUGAAGGUCACUAUCUAACAGACGGUGGCACCAGCAGUGGGCCCAGUGAGAUGAUGAGGCUUGAUGGAACUCCUCUGUGGGAACCUGUGGGGGUGUGUGGAGCCCAUGAGUAGCUCGCUGAAAAGGGAAA